GAAAAUCCAUAAUUUACUUGAUUUGGUUGUGGGUAAACACAUAUGGUAACAAAUUUAACGUCCUUAGAUAAAUAAAUAAACAGUGAGAUCUAUGUUGUCUCCAUGUUCUUAGAGGUCUAUCCAGAAUCAUACAAUCCGUUGGAAUUUGUGUUGUUUCUGUCAUCUUCAAGUCUCAGUUUUUUAUAUCAUCGCCAUUCAAUCUCGAGUCCACUAAAUGAUAGCUAGUUUUGUUCUGAAAUCUGGCAUAUGAUCCUGUAAAGUAAUAGCCAGAGUUAGUUUUGAAAUAAUGAUACAACAUAAAAUAAGUUAAUGAUACACAACAAAAAAUACUUGUGUAGAAGUGUCAAACAAAAUACCUCCAGUGAAGUAUUCCUUAAAAUUUAACGUCCAUGGACCGCAAGAUAACUUACAUAAUUACGGAACUUAAACAUAUUACAUAAUUUCUUUUAUCAUUUUUAUAGAUAGUUAUAUAAUAUAGUUUUAAAGUUAUCAAAUGGUCAUGACUGUAACAAGCCCUGAAAAAAGAAAAAUCGCACCCACACAGGUGAAUGAGGCACGUCUGAUAAAAUAUAAUGGAUUGUUUGGAAGAAAUAAUCGAUUCUUUUUAUUUGUAGAAGAUAAAGAAAAUUUGUUUGGGUCCAGCCGUCCAGAAUCCAUUCCCACCGCCUACGAAUCCAUUCCCACUAAUUGACAAGCUCUUGUCACUUCCUAAUACAGUAGUACUGAAAAACCAGCAGUCAUCCUCUCCACCGCCCGUCACAUCUCCCCCAUUCCCCAUUUCUCCCAUCACCAGCUCCCUCCCUCCAUAGCCGGCGGUCAGCGAGAUUCACAGCCACUGAUCCCCCCUCCUCAUGUUGAAUCUGGCCGCAGAAGUGGCCGAGAAGGCCCUCGAGCUCGGCAUGCUCGCGCCAGCGCGCUCUAGGCUCCAUCGGAGGCGGACGUGGAGGCGCAGGACUCCACGCCUCUCCUCUGCCCUGCUCCUUCUUCGAAUCCAGUCGCCUAAGUGCUCGAGGAGGCGCUCGAGCUUGGCAUGCUCGUCGGCGACACCGGGCCCCUCCCUCCUCCUGUUGCCUCGCCGCCGCCAUGAGCCCCUCCACCCUCUCCUGUGUGAUUGUACAGCUCCAGGUAAGUCUCUCUCUCCGACCCGACCGCCUGAUGCAAGCUUUGUUGACGAGGAGAGAAAAAACAAUCCCCCAACUGGUGAUAAGAUGGGUGCUGAUGUACUUCAUAUGAUUUCUUCCUUUCCAGGCAGUCUGUUGGCACAAUGAAUAAUGUCUGCUCUUCGACUGGAGCAGUUCUUCCCUGUUGGUAAUCAGAGGAUACAUGCUACUAAUUCUUCAACUGAAAUUAAUUUUCAGUUUGAUCCAAGAGCAAAUCAUGAAGCUCAAGUUUUCUUAGCACCUAUGCCAAAGAGAAGAAGGUUAGUUUCUUUCAAGAAUGAAAGAACUGGUACCAAAGGAACUGCUGUCAGUAAAAGACAUUAUGGGAAGCAAGCUGACACCCCACCGCAACCUGUGCCUAAAGCAAAUGAAGCAAGUGCAGGGGCCAACCCUUUUCUAUGGAGCACAAUUUCAAGCUCAUCAACCAACAUAACCUUUGGCACUAAUAGCAAUCGCACAUAUUGUGGACAGCUUCACAAUGUGUCCCUCACUGAGAAAUCACCAUGAAUGUUCCCUUUCAAGUCACUUCAUAAGUUGUUCUGUUAUUGGGCUUUGUUAGAUAAGCUGAUUUAACUGAGUAUUAUUUUGCUCUAGAUUGUUGCUUUUGGUUGUGAGUGAAUCUAAGAGUUAACAUGGUACAAUAUCUUCUCGAAGAUGAUGUAUUCCUUCAUAAAAAAGGAUGUUGGAGAAGUUAUUAUUGAAGAGGAGUUCAGUCUCAUGUGAUUCUCAAGAGCUAAAAUGGAACAAGAAGUGCAGGCCUCUCAUGUCUACACUAACUAAUCAGGUAGCAUAUGCAAAAUUUUAAGCAUACUACAUUCAGAUAUGACAAUUGAAUAUAAAAACUGGCAAUAAUGUACAGUACACUAUUUCUAAGAAUUUCUGCAUUAGAGGCUUGUUGCUUCAGUUCUACAAUCAGUCAGUUGUUAAUUUGUUGUUUUAUAACUAAUUCAGUAAGAGAUCUUUUUCCCAGUUGGCCAGAUUAUCUGCCGAUGAUAUGAUCGCAGUGAAUAAUAUGUGUUGCCUAUGUUAUAAUGAAAUUUGAAAUACGUAAAGUAACCCGUUGCGUUAUUUUACAUGUGUAUUAGUUCUUCCAAACAUAUAGCCUUUAAAUACUUAUAUUACAGUACAAGUUAUUCACUCGAUUCUACAAUUUUCAGAAAAAACGUGGUAUCAGAAAAGGGCGAAUAGGGGAAGAAUCAACAUAGAUAUUGUCCCGGUUUUAUCCCGUCCUGGAGGUAUAAUUUUUUUAUCUGAUUAAUGAUGGCAACAAAUGUUUGACAUUAUUCAUACUGUUAUGAAAUGAACUUUUCUGCAUGCAGCAAUUGUAAAUGUCUUUGAGAUUCCAAGAUAAUAUAUCUUCAUCAUUCUUUCAUUAUUCCCAAGUUACAUUUUUAUGCAUUAUUCUCCACUAGUUCUGAUUUACCUGUCAUCUCACCUCAUUUUGUCAACUACUCAUUUGUCGUAUAUAUAGAACCCUCAUGGUUGGUCUGUUGGUUUGAGUUAUUUUGUCCCCAAUCUUCGGUCCUAUCAUCUAAUUUCUUGAUUCGAUUACUGCGUUUGUCUUGGCUACCACUUCAACACAAACAUUUAUCUGAUGGUGGUCAAAUUCAACAAUGUUAGCAAUUACUCUCUGGACUACUGAAACUUAACCUCCUUAAAGCAUGGACCAGACCUGCUCCUAGGUGCAAGCUUUGUUAGUCGAGCAAGUGCAAAAAAACUAUCAAAAGAUAAUCUCAUGCUUAAUCCAAUGGAACAUAAAUAAUCUAGCGAGAUCCAAGUAUGAAAGGAAGUAAUUCAACAUUAUCACCUAUUUCUUUAAAUUUGCAUGCCACAAAAGCAAAAUCUUAUUUCUUUAAUCCACCAUUUCCUUUAAUACUUGAAACUGGAAAUGAAAUUCCAUGAAUGCUUUAUUGAAGAACAACUACGAUUGAUUCUUAAGAAAUGUGCAGGUACAUAUGCCAGAACUACACUUACUAUUUCUUAUUACCAUAUCCUUCAUUCACGAAAAAAAAUCCCUACAUAAGAUUGACCCAGCCAAAUGACUAACAAACAUGUAGCCAUGGCCAAUAUUGCAUGAAUUGGCCAUGAACUUCUCAGCACAAACUCUAUCUAUUUCACACUUCUCCUCUGUUCUCGUUUGGACUCUAUAAAUUAAAACAUCACACAUGCAUAUGCAAAGCCAGUGGAAGCAAAGAGAACUUACAUUGGAAGGAGGCACAAUGAAUCUGAAGCACGCUCCAGAAGCAACUGCAAGCCG
rnacentral:lncRNA from 1 species